UCGAGAAUUUUUCACAAUGGGCGAAAGCCUGAUGGAGCGACACCGCGUGGGGGAUGAAGGGCUUCGGUCCGUAAACCCCUGUCAUUUGCGAACAAACCUUGUCCAAUAACACUGGACAAGCUGAUUGUAGCGAAAGAGGAAGGGACGGCUAACUCUGUGCCAGCAGCCGCGGUAAUACAGAGGUCCCAAGCGUUGUUCGGAUUCACUGGGCGUAAAGGGUGCGUAGGUGGUUGGGCAAGUCUGAUGUGAAAUCUCCGGGCUUAACCCGGAAAUGGCAUUGGAAACUGCUUGGCUAGAGUGUUGGAGGGGGGACUGGAAUUCUCGGUGUAGCAGUGAAAUGCGUAGAUAUCGAGAGGAACACCAGUGGCGAAGGCGAGUCCCUGGACAACGACUGACACUGAGGCACGAAAGCUAGGGGAGCAAACAG
rnacentral:rRNA from 1 species